AAAAAAAAACAAGAUUAGGUGACCUCCAUAUCAAAAAUCAAAAGGUCGCUGACAUCCAUGACAAAAUAAAAUAAGGUGACUGUCGUUUCAUGAGAAUCUUGAAUCAUCAUUUUCACUCUUACACCGUUGAACUCUCUGGGAAGACGAAUGCAUGCGUAAAAUUAAUUGAACGUAGCACUUGAGUUUAUCAAGAAGAAGGGGUAGGUUAAAAAAA
rnacentral:lncRNA from 1 species